rnacentral:rRNA from 1 species
UGACUGCGUACCUUUUGUAUAAUGGGUCAGCGACUUAUAUUCUGUAGCAAGGUUAACCGAAUAGGGGAGCCGGAGGGAAACCGAGUCUUAACCGGGCGUUAAGUUGCAGGGUAUAGACCCGAAACCCGGUGAUCUAGCCAUGGGCAGGUUGAAGGUUGGGUAACACUAACUGGAGGACCGAACCGACUAAUGUUGAAAAAUUAGCGGAUGACCUGUGGCUGGGGGUGAAAGGCCAAUCAAACCGGGAGAUAGCUGGUUCUCCCCGAAAGCUAUUUAGGUAGCGCCUCGUGAAUUCAUCUCCGGGGGUAGAGCACUGUUUCGGCUAGGGGGCCAUCCCGGCUUACCAACCCGAUGCAAACUGCGAAUACCGGAGAAUGUUAUCACGGGAGACACACGGCGGGUGCUAACGUCCGUCGUGAAGAGGGAAACAACCCAGACCGCCAGCUAAGGUCCCAAAGUCAUGGUUAAGUGGGAAACGAUGUGGGAAGGCCCAGACAGCCAGGAUGUUGGCUUAGAAGCAGCCAUCAUUUAAAGAAAGCGUAAUAGCUCACUGGUCGAGUCGGCCUGCGCGGAAGAUGUAACGGGGCUAAACCAUGCACCGAAGCUGCGGCAGCGACGCUUAUGCGUUGUUGGGUAGGGGAGCGUUCUGUAAGCCUGUGAAGGUGUGUCGUGAGGCAUGCUGGAGGUAUCAGAAGUGCGAAUGCUGACAUAAGUAACGAUAAAGCGGGUGAAAAGCCCGCUCGCCGGAAGACCAAGGGUUCCUGUCCAACGUUAAUCGGGGCAGGGUGAGUCGACCCCUAAGGCGAGGCCGAAAGGCGUAGUCGAUGGGAAACGGGUUAAUAUUCCCGUACUUGGUGUUACUGCGAAGGGGGGACGGAGAAGGCUAUGUUGGCCGGGCGACGGUUGUCCCGGUUUAAGCGUGUAGGUGUGUGUUCCAGGUAAAUCCGGUUCACUUUAACACUGAGGCGUGAUGACGAGGCACUACGGUGCUGAAGUAACAAAUGCCCUGCUUCCAGGAAAAGCCUCUAAGCAUCAGGUAACAUCAAAUCGUACCCCAAACCGACACAGGUGGUCAGGUAGAGAAUACCAAGGCGCUUGAGAGAACUCGGGUGAAGGAACUAGGCAAAAUGGUGCCGUAACUUCGGGAGAAGGCACGCUGACACGUAGGUGAAGUGAUUUACUCACGGAGCUGAAGUCAGUCGAAGAUACCAGCUGGCUGCAACUGUUUAUUAAAAACACAGCACUGUGCAAACACGAAAGUGGACGUAUACGGUGUGACGCCUGCCCGGUGCCGGAAGGUUAAUUGAUGGGGUCAGCGCAAGCGAAGCUCCUGAUCGAAGCCCCGGUAAACGGCGGCCGUAACUAUAACGGUCCUAAGGUAGCGAAAUUCCUUGUCGGGUAAGUUCCGACCUGCACGAAUGGCGUAAUGAUGGCCAGGCUGUCUCCACCCGAGACUCAGUGAAAUUGAACUCGCUGUGAAGAUGCAGUGUACCCGCGGCAAGACGGAAAGACCCCGUGAACCUUUACUAUAGCUUGACACUGAACAUUGAGCCUUGAUGUGUAGGAUAGGUGGGAGGCUUUGAAGUGUGGACGCCAGUCUGCAUGGAGCCGACCUUGAAAUACCACCCUUUAAUGUUUGAUGUUCUAACGUGGACCCGUUACCCGGGUUGCGGACAGUGUCUGGUGGGUAGUUUGACUGGGGCGGUCUCCUCCUAAAGAGUAACGGAGGAGCACGAAGGUUGGCUAAUCCUGGUCGGACAUCAGGAGGUUAGUGCAAUGGCAUAAGCCAGCUUGACUGCGAGCGUGACGGCGCGAGCAGGUGCGAAAGCAGGUCAUAGUGAUCCGGUGGUUCUGAAUGGAAGGGCCAUCGCUCAACGGAUAAAAGGUACUCCGGGGAUAACAGGCUGAUACCGCCCAAGAGUUCAUAUCGACGGCGGUGUUUGGCACCUCGAUGUCGGCUCAUCACAUCCUGGGGCUGAAGUAGGUCCCAAGGGUAUGGCUGUUCGCCAUUUAAAGUGGUACGCGAGCUGGGUUUAGAACGUCGUGAGACAGUUCGGUCCCUAUCUGCCGUGGGCGCUGGAGAACUGAGGGGGGCUGCUCCUAGUACGAGAGGACCGGAGUGGACGCAUCACUGGUGUUCGGGUUGUCAUGCCAAUGGCACUGCCCGGUAGCUAAAUGCGGAAGAGAUAAGUGCUGAAAGCAUCUAAGCACGAAACUUGCCCCGAGAUGAGUUCU